rnacentral:rRNA from 1 species
GACGAACGCUGGCGGCGUGCUUAACACAUGCAAGUCGAACGGAAAGGCCCUGCUUUUGUGGGGUGCUCGAGUGUCGAACGGGUGAGUAACACGUGGGUAGCCUGCCAUUGACUUUGGGAUAACUUCAGGAAACUGUGGCUAGUAGCGGAUAGGGGCUCCUGCUGCAUGGUGGGGGUUGGCAAGUUUCGGCGGUUGUGGAGGGGCUGUCGGCUUAUCAGGCUGUUGGUGGGGUAGUGGCUGACCAAGUCGUUGACGGGUAGCAGGCCUGAGAGGGUGACCGGCCACAUCGGGACGGAGAUGAGGCCCAGCCUCCUACGGGAGGAAGCAGUGGGGAAGAAUGCACCACGGGCGGAAGACGGAUGAAGCAGCGACGCGUGCGGGAUGAAGGACUUCGGGUUGUAAUCCGCUUCCGCCUGCGAAGAAGAGUGAGUGACGGUAAUGGGUAAAGAAGCACCGGCUAACUACGUG